rnacentral:lncRNA from 1 species
AACAUAUCGAUUAACCUUUAAGAGAUUCUUCAGUACCUAUUAUUCAAAAUUAUAUUAUUGCAUUAAUUCUAAUUCAAAAUUAGAUUUAAACAAAUCUUAAAUCAAAAUCCCACUUAGGAUCAGACCUUUCACUAAACUCGAUCAAAAUCGUCAAGAAAGAAGUCCGUCAUUGGGCUAAUUUUAGAAAAAUAACUUCAAGAGAGAGAAAUCCAUCGAGAGAGAGAAUCAAUCUAGAGACAAAAAAUUUUAGAGAAAAAGUCUAACAUUCUAGAGAGAGAAAAUAAGAGUUUAGAUUGAAGGGAGAGAGAGAAGAGAGAGAAACUCUCUCUCAUUUUUUUUCUUUCCAUUUUUUUUUUCUUUUUUUUUCUUUCACGGGAUGGAGGACCCACACGUCCUUUGUCUUCUUCUUCUUCAUUCAUGAAAUAGGGGGCUCUUGCUCCCCCUUAUUCCCGACGAGGAGACCAUCCCCCCCAGCCGACCACCACUCAGGCUGAUAGGGCAGUCCCCGAUGAUGCCAAGCGAUCGGGUCCAAUGACUGACGGCAGCCAAACUGCAAUGGAAAAAAAAACGAAAAGAAAAGAAAAAAUAGGGGAUUCAAAAACUAUACUUUUCAAAUGAUUUCUAGCAAAAUAUAUUCAAUAAAAAUUCAAGAUCUAAACCAGGAGAGAUUAAGAGAAAAAUGUGGAAGUGGGUAGAUGAAAUCUUAAUUGAUUUUGAUGGCCAAAUUACUCGCUAACUAUUGGCAAUCCGAAAGAAAGAAAGGGGGAAGAAAAGCAGCAAAUCUUAAUGAUUUUUGGUGAAAAAAAUCAGAAGAAUUAGGGCCUUUAAAUAGGAUUCCAAUGGGGAGGAUUUAGAGUUAAUUCCACUUAAAUUUUCUUUAGAUUUUAGGAUUC